AUAUAAUUUUUCCAGGAAAAGAAGUGGAGACAAUUUACCUCUUCGAGAGGUCGAGGAUAGAUGCACAGUAUCAGUUGAAUGCCAUGGUCUUCCAUCAAAAAUAAUGAAGAAGUGAUUUUUUUUAAUGCAACAAUGUGCUUCCAGUGGCAUUUUGAACAAUGCUGAGUGACAAAAUUUAAGGGAUGGUAUGGAUAUUCAACUAUGUAUGCAGACGGGAAAAAAAUGUAUAUGGAAAGAAGAAAUGCUGUUCAAACUUUAAAUAGUACAUGUUUGUAUAUGUAUAAUGUAUUUCACUACACUGCUCUUAAGAAUUUUUUAAUGUAUAUUAAAUUGUUAUGGAAUGUAAAUUAGAAUAAAGUUGUAUGAUGAUAU